rnacentral:rRNA from 1 species
UACGGGGGGGGCAAGCGUUGUUCGGAAUUACUGGGCGUAAAGGGCUCGUAGGUGGCCAACUAAGUCAGACGUGAAAUCCCUCGGCUUAACCGGGGAACUGCGUCUGAUACUGGAUGGCUAGAGAUUGGGAGAGGGAUGCGGAAUUCCAGGUGUAGCGGUGAAAUGCGUAGAUAUCAAGAGGAACACCUGAGGUGAAGACGGGUUGCUGGGCUGACACUGACGCUGAGGCGCGAAAGCUAGGGUAGCAAACGGG